CCGCGGUAAUACGGAGGGUGCAAGCGUUAUCCGGAUUCACUGGGUUUAAAGGGUGCGUAGGUGGCUUUGUAAGUCAGUGGUGAAAGCCCGGAGCUUAACUCCGGAACUGCCAUUGAUACUGCUUAGCUUGAAUCAACUUGAGGUGGAUGGAAUAUUACAUGUAGCGGUGAAAUGCUUAGAUAUGUAAUAGAACACCGAUUGCGAAGGCAGUUCACUAAGGUUGUAUUGACACUGAGGCACGAAAGCGUGG
rnacentral:rRNA from 1 species